UUCCAUUUAUGAAAUGCCAUUAUAAUGCAAACAUCAGGAAAAUAUUUGAAUUUACAAUGGUUGACAAUGUGUUAUACAGCACAACUCUUAGAGGCAGUUCAAGGAGC